rnacentral:lncRNA from 1 species
AAGAACGAUAAGAAAAAGGUAACAAUAAUAAAAUUCCCAAAAUGACCUCCGCAUCGCCGCCAGUCCUCCCAAUCUCCAACUCCCAACCGACCACCACGGCGUCCUCCGCUUCCUCGGUCCAAUCCCAACCACCAGUGGCGACCCCGGCUUUCCGCGCCCUAAUCAACCACAUCUCCGACUCACUCCGUUACGGCUUCGCCCAGCGCCGCCCGUGGGCCGAACUCGCCGACCGAUCCGCCUUCUCCAAACCGGAGUCGUUCUCCGAAGCCACCCUCCGCAUCCGCAAGAACUACUCCUAUUUCCGAGUCAAUUACCUCACGGUCGUCGCUGUCGUCAUUGCUUUCUCUCUCAUCACCAAUCCUUUCUCUCUCCUCAUGCUCGUCGGAC